rnacentral:rRNA from 1 species
UACGGAGGGUGCAAGCGUUAUCCGGAUUCACUGGGUUUAAAGGGUGCGUAGGUGGGUUUGUAAGUCAGUGGUGAAAACUCCGAGCUUAACUCGGAAACUGCCAUUGAUACUAUAGAUCUUGAAUCAUCUGGAGGUAAGCGGAAUAUGUCAUGUAGCGGUGAAAUGCUUAGAUAUGACAUAGAACACCAAUUGCGAAGGCAGCUUACUACGGGUGUAUCGACACUGAGGCGCGAAAGCGUGGGGAUCGAACAGG